GUCUAUGGCCAUACCACCCUGAACGCGCCCGAUCUCAUCUGAUCUCGGAAGCUAAGGAGGGUCAGGCCUGGUUAGUAUUUGGAUGGGAGA
rnacentral:rRNA from 1 species